AUUGAACGCUGGAGGCAUGCUUUACACAUGCAAGUCGGACGGCAGCGAGAGAGAAGCUUGCUUCUCUUGUCGGCGAGUGGCGAACGGGUGAGUAAUACAUCGGAACGUACCCUGUAGUGGGGGAUAACUACUCGAAAGAGUAGCUAAUACCGCAUACAACCUGAGGGUAAAAGUGGGGGACCGCAAGGCCUCACGCUAUAGGAGCGGCCGAUGGAAGAUUAGCUAGUUGGUAGGGUAAAGGCCUACAAAGGCGACGAUCUUUAGCGGGUCUGAGAGGAUGAUCCGCCACACUGGGACUGAGACACGGCCCAGACUCCUACGGGAGGCAGCAGUGGGGAAUUUUGGACAAUGGGCGAAAGCCUGAUCCAGCAAUGCCGCGUGAGUGAAGAAGGCCUUCGGGUUGUAAAGCUCUUUUGUUUGGGAAGAAAUCCUAACGGAUAAUACCUGUUGGGGAUGACGGUACCAAAAGGAUAAGCACCGGCUAACUACGUGCCAGCAGCCGCCGUAACAC
rnacentral:rRNA from 1 species